rnacentral:rRNA from 1 species
AACGAACGCUGGCAGCAUGCCUAACACAUGCAAGUCGAACGAGACCUUCGGGUCUAGUGGCGCACGGGUGCGUAACGCGUGGGAACCUGCCCUUAGGUUCGGAAUAACUCCCCGAAAGGGGUGCUAAUACCGGAUAAUGUCUUCGGACCAAAGAUUUAUCGCCUUUGGAUGGGCCCGCGUUGGAUUAGCUAGUUGGUAGGGUAAAAGCCUACCAAGGCGAGGAUCCAUAGCUGGUCUGAGAGGAUGAUCAGCCACACUGGGACUGAGACACGGCCCAGACUCCUACGGGAGGCAGCAGUGGGGAAUAUUGGACAAUGGGCGAAAGCCUGAUCCAGCAAUGCCGGGUGAGUGAUGAAGGCCGUAGGGUUGUAAAGCUCUUUUACCCGGGAUGAUAAUGACAGUACCGGGAGAAUAAGCUCCGGCUAACUCCGUG